rnacentral:rRNA from 1 species
UACGUAGGGUGCGAGCGUUAAUCGGAAUUACUGGGCGUAAAGCGUGCGCAGGCGGCUAUGUAAGACAGAUGUGAAAUCCCCGGGCUCAACCUGGGAACUGCAUUUGUGACUGCAUAGCUAGAGUACGGUAGAGGGGGAUGGAAUUCCGCGUGUAGCAGUGAAAUGCGUAGAUAUGCGGAGGAACACCGAUGGCGAAGGCAAUCCCCUGGACCUGUACUGACGCUCAUGCACGAAAGCGUGGGGAGCAAACAGG